CUCGUUCUCCUCCAUGGCUUCAUCCGAGCAGGACGCGGCACUCGCCGCCGUCCCCUCAGAAGCUCCCACCAUUUACUGGCGGAUUGGAGCCUCCGAGUUCGACGAGGAAAGUCCGAUCGAGGAUAUACCUCUUUCGCCCUCUUUCUCUCCAUGCCUAUUACCCGAAGAUGUCAAAGUUGAAGCCCCGGUAGUCCGGCGCAGUGGAUACCGG
rnacentral:misc_RNA from 1 species